rnacentral:rRNA from 1 species
AUUGAACGCUGGCGGCAGGCCUAACACAUGCAAGUCGAGCGGCAGCGGGAAGUAGCUUGCUACUUUGCCGGCGAGCGGCGGACGGGUGAGUAAUGUCUGGGAAACUGCCCGAUGGAGGGGGAUAACUACUGGAAACGGUAGCUAAUACCGCAUAACGUCGCAAGACCAAAGCGGGGGACCUUCGGGCCUCUUGCCAUCGGAUGUGCCCAGAUGGGAUUAGCUAGUAGGUGGGGUAACGGCUCACCUAGGCGACGAUCCCUAGCUGGUCUGAGAGGAUGACCAGCCACACUGGAACUGAGACACGGUCCAGACUCCUACGGGAGGCAGCAGUGGGGAAUAUUGCACAAUGGGCGCAAGCCUGAUGCAGCCAUGCCGCGUGUAUGAAGAAGGCCUUCGGGUUGUAAAGUACUUUCAGCGGGGAGGAAGGUGUUGAGGUUAAUAACCUCAGCAAUUGACGUUACCCGCAGAAGAAGCACCGGCUAACUCCGUGCCAGCAGCCGCCGUAA